rnacentral:rRNA from 1 species
GGGGGGGGGGGGGGGGGGGGGGGGGGGGGGCGGGGCGGGCGGCGGGGCGGGGAGGGGGUGGGCGUGCGGGUGGCGAGUGGCGGACGGGUGAGGGAUGCAUCGGAAUCUACUUUUUCGUGGGGGAUAGCGGAGGGAAACUUACGCUAAUACCGCAUACGACCUACGGGUGAAAGCAGGGGAUCUUCGGACCUUGCGCGAUUGAAUGAGCCGAUGUCGGAUUAGCUAGUUGGCGGGGUAAAGGCCCACCAAGGCGACGAUCCGUAGCUGGUCUGAGAGGAGGAUCAGCCACACUGGAACUGAGACACGGUCCAGACUCCUACGGGAGGCAGCAGUGGGGAAUAUUGGACAAUGGGCGCAAGCCUGAUCCAGCCAUACCGCGUGGGUGAAGAAGGCCUUCGGGUUGUAAAGCCCUUUUGUUGGGAAAGAAAAGCAGCAGGUUAAUACCCCGCUGUUCUGACGGUACCCAAAGAAUAAGCACCGGCUAACUUCGUG